rnacentral:other from 1 species
AUUAUCCUGCGGUGUGCGUUGGUCUAUUGUUUUUAACCCACAGAGUUAAUAUGGGAAUCCGCGUUUGUUUCCUAAUACCAGGCCCUAUCAUAGGGGAAGGUAGAUGUAGACAACAGGUAUCCCACCUGUCGAGAGGCGGGUAUUGAAAAUGAUAGGUAAACGGCAUCUUGGGAUAAUA